ensembl:snRNA U6 U6 spliceosomal RNA
GUGCUCACUUCAGCAGCACAUAUACUAAAUUUGAAACAACACAGAGAAGAUUAGCAUGGCCCCUGAGCAAGGAUGACACGCAAAUUCGUGAAGUGGUCCAUAUUUUU